GACACAGGCAGGUAUGAGUCUAGGGACAGCCUGGAGGACAAAUUCUUCACCACCUAGCUCACUACCAGUGUUUUAAUACAGAUGCCCAUGGUUCUCAAGCUGUGUGCCAAGGCACACCAGCACACCAUAGUGAGGUCAGUGGACAUCGAAGCAUAUUUAAAAUUUUAAAGAGAAAUUUGUACAAUAUUUGACAUCUCUCUGACAUCACACAAAUUGCUUGCCCAGGGUAGUUUACAGUUGAACAUGAGAUUAUACUACUUUCUUUCCAGUGACAUUGUAUUUGUAUGAAGUCUUGUUUUGGGCAGGUGCUAUGAGAAAAAGUAAACACUGCAAUCAAUGAGGAAAAAAUAAUAUGGGUGACAUUGUUCUAGGACUGAGAACGCAUAUGUUCUCAGGAGAAAUAUACAUCAUACUACUAAGUCAUUGCAUUUAAGAAUGGAAUAAUUUCAAUUUAUGUUUAUUAGCAGGGGAGCGCAGCUACCCUUGACUGAGGAAACGGUCUGCCUCUAUCGGGGGUGGUCAUCCUCUUCAACAGAGUGCACACCUUUGGGAGGGGGACACGUGGAGCCGUGAGAGAGGACAGGGACACCCGCCUAGCCAGCCAGAUCAGCCGUAUCAACUCUGGCGAUCACGGGGGGGGGGCAGAUGUCAUAGCCAGAUCGCCCUCCAUCCAACGUUUAUUAUUCCUUAAAACAACUAGUAAGUUAUCAGAACAUAUAUACUUCUUGCUUGGGCUUAAUUACUUAAAUAAUAAGUUAGGCUUUUCUUUUGGCCAAGCAAUGCCAUGCAAUGAGACUGACAUACUUGAGCUGUAAAAUUUGGCACCUCUUGCAGACAUCCAUUGGCUGCUUCCAGACACACCAGGCCUCUCCCUACAGUUUCUGCACCCUGUGGCCACUUGUACCUCUCCAAUUUUUCCAUCUGCAAAAUCCCCCUGGUAUUCACCAUUCACAGGCAGUCAGAACAUUAAGAGGCAUUCACACAUGUCCUCUGAUUAGGAUGGAGGAACUUACAUAGGGGAGAAAGACAGACAGAAACACAGAAUGACAGGGAAUGUGUAUCUGGCCAAGUGGUGCCAACCCCUCUGGAAAUAGACUGGGAACCAAAUGAAGACAAAAUUCAGGUGGCCAUAGCUCUGCACACUUCUACUUAUGGGAACACAUGGUGUACAUGGUUGACUCCAACUUGCUGAGUUGUGGGCUACUCAGGGGAGUUCUGUGCCCCUUGCACACAUCCCUGCCCCAUCCCAGAAUGGUGUGGGAGAUUGCCAUUUGAGCUCUCAUCUAGCUUCACCACCAUGCUGAUGCCUUCGAGCACUCACUGUACAGGACUCUGUGCUAAGUGCUUUCUUUGAAUUAUCUCAUAGGAUUCUCACAAGCUCAUUUGACUCAUUGCAACAUUUCCUAGAGGGAGGAGAAGCUAAGCAGCCAAUGCUCUUUCUCACUGCUGGAGAGCAGCUGCUGUUGUUGAGACAUUUCUGCCCGACAUGGGGAUUAAAACUGAGUGAAGAGCAAGCACCCUUCUGGGUAUAUCUCGGACACAAAGAACUUGAGAAGAAUCCUUUUGCAACCCAAAAACUGGAAAGUGCAGCCAGGAGGACACCAAGAACCUGGAGAUAUUUUUUAGGAGGAGGAGUUGGUUCAAAAUAACAAAGAUGAUAAGAAAUACCAGCACAACAAUGAAAAACAGACCUCUCACAAGAUACCAAGACAUUAUUAUCUAUCUCCUCACAGGUUUACGUGCUUGAGCAGGCUCUUGAGGUCUCCCAGUGACUCAGAGGCCCUUGAAUGUUCUUUGAGACCCAUAUGGCUUGGCAUUUCAGUGUCCCACUUGGUCCAGGUGUAAAUGCUUCCAUCUGCUCAGAACAGUUGUCAACCACCACCAACAGAUAUUUCAAAUCAGCUGUCUGCAGCCUUUAGGUAAAGUCCAUUUACCAAUUUUCAUUAUUUUUUUCUAGACUGGAGUGGGC